UCCUGACUUCGUGAUCCGUCCACCUCGGC
rnacentral:piRNA from 1 species